GAUUCCCUUAGUAACUGCGAGUGAACUGGGAAAAGCUCAAAUUUAAAAUCUGGCGGUCGUUGACUGUCCGAGUUGUAAUCUAGAGAAGUGUUGCCCGUGCUGGACCAUGUACAAGUCUCCUGGAAUGGAGCAUCACAGAGGGUGAGAAUCCCGUCUUUGACAUGGACUACCAGUGCUUUGUGGUAUGCUCUCAAAGAGUCGAGUUGUUUGGGAAUGCAGCUCAAAAUGGGUGGUAAAUGCCAUCUAAAGCUAAAUAUUGGCGAGAGACCGAUAGCGAACAAGUACCGUGAGGGAAAGAUGAAAAGAACUUUGGAAAGAGAGUUAAACAGUACGUGAAAUUGCUGAAAGGGAAACGCUUGAAGUCAGUCACAUUGACUUGGAAUCAACCCUGCUUUUGCUGGGUGUACUUUCUUGUCAAUGGGUCAGCAUCAAUUCUAACUGUUGGAUAAAGUUAUUGGGAAUGUGGCAUCUUCGGAUGUGUUAUAGCCCAUUGAUGCAUACAGCAGUUGGGAUUGAGGAACACAGCAUGCCGCAAGGCCGGGUUUUUAACCACGUUCAUGCUUAGGAUGCUGGCAUAAUGGCUUUAAUCGACCCGUCUUGAAACACGGACCAAGGAGUCUAACAUGCCUGCAAGUGUUUGGGUGAARAAACCCAUCCGCGUAAUGAAAGUGAAAGUUGAGAACCCUUAGGGGUGCAUCGACGCCCAGACCAGACCUUUUGUGACGGAUCUGCGGUAGAGCAUGUAUGUUGGGACCCGAAAGAUGGUGAACUAUGCCUGAAUAGGGUGAAGCCAGAGGAAACUCUGGUGGAGGCUCGUAGCGAUUCUGACGUGCAAAUCGAUCGUCAAAUUUGGGUAUAGGGGCGAAAGACUAAUCGAA
rnacentral:rRNA from 2 species